UAAUUUCAUAGGUAGAAUUACACAAAAAGGACAUGCUUUAAUGUAUAGUUGAUUUGGGCCUCCAUAUGUGUGCAUACCCCUUUAACUCUCUGAUUGCAGCAUCAAACCAAAUUUCCUGUUUUUGCUCCUGCUCUUCCCUUUUCGUGUUAUGUCCACAUGGAAGAGAACUGAAGGGGCAAGUUUGCACAUUGUUAAGAGACUGUGUUAUCUCUUGUCAGAACUAAAGGGGCAAGUUUGCACAUU